rnacentral:ncRNA from 2 species
AGCAGCACGGGAGAGCGACCCGUGGCUGGCAGACAAUCCAGCCCCCAUCCCACGGCAACUGUGGAUGGGGCUGGCUUUCUGCGCUUAACCCCGUCUUCCAAUAUCGGGAAAGAUUCAGUGCAUUGCACUUGAUUGCACAACUGCUCGCCAACGUUCGGGAACGGACCGCAUCGCUCGGGGCGAACAUCUUUCUCCUCGCGGCUCCGUAGUCCCG